CUUGAGGCGUGCUUCUGGAGCUAACGCGUUAAGUCGACCGCCUGGGGAGUACGGCCGCAAGGUUAAAACUCAAAUGAAUUGACGGGGGCCCGCACAAGCGGUGGAGCAUGUGGUUUAAUUCGAUGCAACGCGAAGAACCUUACCUACUCUUGACAUCCAGAGAACUUUCCAGAGAUGGAUUGGUGCCUUCGGGAACUCUGAGACAGGUGCUGCAUGGCUGUCGUCAGCUCGUGUUGUGAAAUGUUGGGUUAAGUCCCGCAACGAGCGCAACCCUUAUCCUUUGUUGCCAGCGGUCCGGCCGGGAACUCAAAGGAGACUGCCAGUGAUAAACUGGAGGAAGGGGGGAUGACGUCAAGUCAUCAUGGCCCUUACGAGUAGGGCUACACACGUGCUACAAUGGCGCAUACAAAGAGAAGCGACCUCGCGAGAGCAAGCGGACCUCAUAAAGUGCGUCGUAGUCCGGA
rnacentral:rRNA from 1 species